rnacentral:rRNA from 1 species
GGACCCGCACAAGCGGUGGAGCAUGUGGUUUAAUUCGAAGCAACGCGAAGAACCUUACCAAGGCUUGACAUGGAGACGGCGCAGGUAGAGAUAACUGUUCCCUUCGGGGCGUCUCACACAGGUGGUGCAUGGUUGUCGUCAGCUCGUGUCGUGAGAUGUUGGGUUAAGUCCCGCAACGAGCGCAACCCUUAUUCUUAGUAGCCAAGGGGUAAAGCCGGGCACUCUAAGGAGACUGCCGUGGAUAACACGGAGGAAGGUGGGGAUGACGUCAAAUCAUCAUGCCCCUUAUGUCUUGGGCGACACACGUGCUACAAUGGCUCGUACAAAGUGAAGCGAGACGGUGACGUGGAGCGAAAACACAAAAACGAGUCCCAGUUCGGAUUGUAGUCUGCAACCCGACUACAUGAAGUUGGAAUCGCUAGUAAUCGCGAAUCAGCAUGUCG